UGGGGGAGGGCUGUGAGCAAUGGGAGCCUUAUGCUUGCAGUUGCUACAGGAGGAGGGCGAUCAGGUGCUCCCCAGAUAGCUUUCCAAGAUGCUCUCAAGAUCAUAUCCUGCCCCAUUGCCUCAUCCUGCUCAUUGGACCCUAAAACAAGGUUUGGCUUGCCUUUGAGAAAUCUGCUUGACCUGAAACAGUAGGUGAUAUACCUACAGUCCACAAAUCUUCUCCCAGAGUUCUAUUUCCUGGGCAUCUCUCUACCUAACUCAGGAUUUCUUCUCUUCUGGCUAAGAACAGAUGUGCUAUCCAAAGCUGACAUUCCUCUUGAAGAACAGAGGAAGCAACUACAAGCUCUCCAUUCCCUUCCAACCCAUCUGUGCCUUCCAAGGAAAAUUUACCCAGGCAGGCUCCCAGGACUUCCCUGGUGGCACAGUGGUUAAGAAUCUGCCUGCCACAGGCAGGGGACACAGGUUCGGGCCCUGGUCCGGGAAGAUCCCACAUGCUGCAGAGCAACUAAGCCCAUGCGCCACAACUACUGAGCCUGUGCUCUAGAGCCCGCGUGCCACAACUACUGAGCCUGCACACCACAACUAUUGAAGCCCACGCACCUGGAGCCCGUGCGCCACAACAAGAGAAGCCACUGCAAUCAGAAGCCCGCAUACCACAACGAAGACCCAAUGCAGCCAAAAAAUAAAUAAAUGAAUAAAAAUUUAAAAAAAUAAUUCUAAUUUCAAUUGUAAUAGAAUCAUGUAUUACAGAUAAAAUACAAAUGCGUGGCCAAUGCUCAAACCAAAAGCUGUGCGAUCACUGUUGGAACAAUCAUUC